rnacentral:rRNA from 1 species
UACCAGCACCCCGAGUGGUCGGGACGAUUAUUGGGCCUAAAGCAUCCGUAGCCGGUUCUACAAGUCUUCCGUUAAAUCCACCUGCUUAACAGAUGGGCUGCGGAGGAUACUAUAGAGCUAGGAGGCGGGAGAGGCAAGCGGUACUUAGUGGGUAGGGGUAAAAUCCGUUGAUCCAUUGAAGCCCACCAGUGGCGAAGGCGGCUUGCCAGAACGCACUCGACGGUGAGGGAUGAAAGCUGGGGGAGCAAACCGG